GGGUUGUGAGGUUAAGCGACUAAGCGUACACGGUGGAUGCCCUGGCAGUCAGAGGCGAUGAAGGACGUGCUAAUCUGCGAUAAGCGUCGGUAAGGUGAUAUGAACCGUUAUAACCGGCGAUUUCCGAAUGGGGAAACCCAGUGUGAUUCGUCACACUAUCAUUAACUGAAUCCAUAGGUUAAUGAGGCGAACCGGGGGAACUGAAACAUCUAAGUACCUCGAGGAAAAGAAAUCAACCGAGAUUCCCCCAGUAGCGGCGAGCGAACGGGGAGGAGCCCAGAGCCUGAAUCAGUGUGUGUGUUAGUGGAAGCGUCUGGAAAGGCGCGCGAUACAGGGUGACAGCCCCGUACACAAAAAUGCACAUGCUGUGAGCUCGAUGAGUAGGGCGGGACACGUGGUAUCCUGUCUGAAUAUGGGGGGACCAUCCUCCAAGGCUAAAUACUCCUGACUGACCGAUAGUGAACCAGUACCGUGAGGGAAAGGCGAAAAGAACCCCGGCGAGGGGAGUGAAAAAGAACCUGAAACCGUGUACGUACAAGCAGUGGGAGCACAGAGCAAUCUGUGUGACUGCGUACCUUUUGUAUAAUGGGUCAGCGACUUAUAUUCUGUAGCAAGGUUAACCGAAUAGGGGAGCCGAAGGGAAACCGAGUCUUAACUGGGCGUUAAGUUGCAGGGUAUAGACCCGAAACCCGGUGAUCUAGCCAUGGGCAGGUUGAAGGUUGGGUAACACUAACUGGAGGACCGAACCGACUAAUGUUGAAAAAUUAGCGGAUGACUUGUGGCUGGGGGGGGUAGAGCACUGUUUCGGCAAGGGGGUCAUCCCGACUUACCAACCCGAUGCAAACUGCGAAUACCGGAGAAUGUUAUCACGGGAGACACACGGCGGGUGCUAACGUCCGUCGUGAAGAGGGAAACAACCCAGACCGCCAGCUAAGGUCCCAAAGUCAUGGUUAAGUGGGAAACGAUGUGGGAAGGCCCAGACAGCCAGGAUGUUGGCUUAGAAGCAGCCAUCAUUUAAAGAAAGCGUAAUAGCUCACUGGUCGAGUCGGCCUGCGCGGAAGAUGUAACGGGGCUAAACCAUGCACCGAAGCUGCGGCAGCGACACUGUGUGUUGUUGGGUAGGGGAGCGUUCUGUAAGCCUGUGAAGGUGUGCUGUGAGGUAUGCUGGAGGUAUCAGAAGUGCGAAUGCUGACAUAAGUAACGAUAAAGCGGGUGAAAAGCCCGCUCGCCGGAAGACCAAGGGUUCCUGUCCAACGUUAAUCGGGGCAGGGUGAGUCGACCCCUAAGGCGAGGCCGAAAGGCGUAGUCGAUGGGAAACAGGUUAAUAUUCCUGUACUUGGUGUUACUGCGAAGGGGGGACGGAGAAGGCUAUGUUGGCCGGGCGACGGUUGUCCCGGUUUAAGCGUGUAGGCUGGUUUUCCAGGCAAAUCCGGAAAAUCAAGGCUGAGGCGUGAUGACGAGGCACUACGGUGCUGAAGCAACAAAUGCCCUGCUUCCAGGAAAAGCCUCUAAGCAUCAGGUAACAUCAAAUCGUACCCCAAACCGACACAGGUGGUCAGGUAGAGAAUACCAAGGCGCUUGAGAGAACUCGGGUGAAGGAACUAGGCAAAAUGGUGCCGUAACUUCGGGAGAAGGCACGCUGAUAUGUAGGUGAAGUCCCUCGCGGAUGGAGCUGAAAUCAGUCGAAGAUACCAGCUGGCUGCAACUGUUUAUUAAAAACACAGCACUGUGCAAACACGAAAGUGGACGUAUACGGUGUGACGCCUGCCCGGUGCCGGAAGGUUAAUUGAUGGGGUUAGCGCAAGCGAAGCUCUUGAUCGAAGCCCCGGUAAACGGCGGCCGUAACUAUAACGGUCCUAAGGUAGCGAAAUUCCUUGUCGGGUAAGUUCCGACCUGCACGAAUGGCGUAAUGAUGGCCAGGCUGUCUCCACCCGAGACUCAGUGAAAUUGAACUCGCUGUGAAGAUGCAGUGUACCCGCGGCAAGACGGAAAGACCCCGUGAACCUUUACUAUAGCUUGACACUGAACAUUGAGCCUUGAUGUGUAGGAUAGGUGGGAGGCUUUGAAGUGUGGACGCCAGUCUGCAUGGAGCCGACCUUGAAAUACCACCCUUUAAUGUUUGAUGUUCUAACGUGGACCCGUGAUCCGGGUUGCGGACAGUGUCUGGUGGGUAGUUUGACUGGGGCGGUCUCCUCCUAAAGAGUAACGGAGGAGCACGAAGGUUGGCUAAUCCUGGUCGGACAUCAGGAGGUUAGUGCAAUGGCAUAAGCCAGCUUGACUGCGAGCGUGACGGCGCGAGCAGGUGCGAAAGCAGGUCAUAGUGAUCCGGUGGUUCUGAAUGGAAGGGCCAUCGCUCAACGGAUAAAAGGUACUCCGGGGAUAACAGGCUGAUACCGCCCAAGAGUUCAUAUCGACGGCGGUGUUUGGCACCUCGAUGUCGGCUCAUCACAUCCUGGGGCUGAAGUAGGUCCCAAGGGUAUGGCUGUUCGCCAUUUAAAGUGGUACGCGAGCUGGGUUUAGAACGUCGUGAGACAGUUCGGUCCCUAUCUGCCGUGGGCGCUGGAGAACUGAGGGGGGCUGCUCCUAGUACGAGAGGACCGGAGUGGACGCAUCACUGGUGUUCGGGUUGUCAUGCCAAUGGCACUGCCCGGUAGCUAAAUGCGGAAGAGAUAAGUGCUGAAAGCAUCUAAGCACGAAACUUGCCCCGAGAUGAGUUCUCCCUGACCCUUUAAGGGUCCUGAAGGAACGUUGAAGACAACGACGUUGAUAGGCCGGGUGUGUAAGCGCAGCGAUGCGUUGAGCUAACCGGUACUAAUGAACCGUGAGGCUUAACCUUACAACGCCGAAGGUGUUU
rnacentral:rRNA from 1 species